AUGCCAACUCCCCCCACCCCCAUGCCCUUUUCCCAGUUUUCCUCCAGGAAAACACGGAAACACUGCGGAAGGCUGACGUUUCCUUGUUUCUCCACAGAUUCCAGUGAACCCCGGCUGGUGAGAGUGGUGCGAGUGGAGGCAGCACGAAUGGUACUGUCCGAUCCGGACCUAUAUCCCAAUAAAGUGAGAGACGGAAAGGGCAGGAACAGUAACCCGGCUUUACACCAGAACACAAUUGACAGGCUGUAGAGCAGCCAUCAAGAACCUCCCAUGGACCCACCGAGGAGGACACAUCACGGAUCCAGAGGAGGGAAAGGAGGUUGAUGACUCACUAGUCUUUGCUCUCAAAAAUGUUCCCCAGUUUCUUCCCAUCUGGCAGAUCCUGCUCCUUCUCAGAGAGGUUGAAAAUUGCAGGAAUUUGCUUUUCCAGGAUUCCUUGCCACUGGAACAUGAAAUGUAACCCAAUAUUGAUGAAUGUGAUCUAAAGAAAAAUAUGCCUUCCUAAUAUAAAGAAAUGCACGAGAAGAAAUGACUCCCCUAUUUACUGGAUAUGACUGUGACUUUAGCAACAUGUGGCAACCAAUCUUUGCCGAGUGGAGAAGUUGUGAUUGCGUGGAGAAUGUGGAACAGAAAGGUACAAAGCACAAUGAUGAGCAUUGUUCAACCACUGAAUUUACUAACUUUGAAUCUGCCUGACAUGGAGUGAAUGCUUGUGCACCCUCCCCCCGAAAUCCAUAUGUUGCAGCCCUUACUCCCAGUGUGAUGGUAUUUGGAGGUGCAGCCUUUGGGAGGUAAUCAGGUUUAGAUGGGGUCAUGAAGGUAGGGCCCCAUGAUGGGAUUAGUGCCCUUCUAAGAAGAGGAAGAGUCACCAGAGAUCUCUCUCUCUUUAUCUCUCUGCCACUUGAGGACAAAGUGAGAAGGCAGGCGUGUGCAAGCCAGGAAAGGUCCUCACCAGAAACCACACCUGCCGGCACCCUGACCUUGGACCUCCAGCCUCCAGAGCUGUGAGAAGUAAAUGUCUGGUGUUUAAGCCGCCAGGUCUGUGGUGUUGUGGCCGCUGGAGCUAAGCCCUGCCCUGAUGCAGACUUCUUAUAAUGUGAGAUAAAUUUUCCUCACUGUUUAAUCCACUUUUAGUUGGCCUUUCUGUUCCUUGUGUAAAGCAUCCUAAUUGAUUCAGCUUGAAAAGUACAGGCCAGGCACCAGAGUAAGUACCUCCAAAUAAGUGAGCCCAUUUAAUCUUCAAGACAAG
rnacentral:lncRNA from 1 species